rnacentral:sRNA from 1 species
UCGUAACAAGGUUUCCGUAGGUGAACCUGCGGAAGGAUCAUUAACGAAGAGCCCCGCUUUUCUAUAACAUCCUGUGAACUGUUCGAUCUCUCCGGAGAUUGACUCAUACAAACUCUAGUGUCGUAAUGAAUGUCUAGUUAUACCAUAACAAAUAUAACUUUCAACAACGGAUCUCUUGGCUCUCGCAUCGAUGAAGAACGCAGCGAAAUGCGAUAAGUAAUGUGAAUUGCAGAAUAGUGAAUCAUCGAAUCUUUGAACGCACCUUGCGCCCUACGGGGCAUGCCGGUUUGAGCGCCUUAACAUACUUGGGCUUGCAGCUUUUGCUGCAUGACCAGAUUUGAGCGUCUUGCUGCUAACCCAGCUCGCUCUGAAAGCAUUAGCGACUGAACGACAGUCAACAACGUGAUAAGUAUUUCGUUGCUGCCUGCCGUUGAGACGCUUCCAACCGUCCUCGGACAACAUACCAAAUGCUAGGCAUCAAAGUGGUAGGACUACCCGCUGAACUUAAGCAUAUCAAUAGGCGGAGGA